CCUACGGGUGGCAGCAGUGGGGAAUAUUGGACAAUGGGGGCAACCCUGAUCCAGCCAUGCCGCGUGUGUGAAGAAGGCCCUCGGGUUGUAAAGCACUUUCAGUGAGGAAGAACGCCUGGUGGUUAAUACCCAUCAGGAAAGACAUCACUCACAGAAGAAGCACCGGCUAACUCCGUGCCAGCAGCCGCGGUAAUACGGAGGGUGCGAGCGUUAAUCGGAAUUACUGGGCGUAAAGCGCGCGUAGGUGGCUUGAUAAGCCGGUUGUGAAAGCCCCGGGCUCAACCUGGGAACGGCAUCCGGAACUGUCAAGCUAGAGUGCAGGAGAGGAAGGUAGAAUUACCGGUGUAGCGGUGAAAUGCGUAGAGAUCGGGAGGAAUACCAGUGGCGAAGGCGGCCUUCUGGACUGACACUGACACUGAGGUGCGAAAGCGUGGGUAGCAAACAGGAUUAGAUACCCCAGUAGUC
rnacentral:rRNA from 1 species